GAUUUUCAGGUGAAAAAUCGUUAAAUUUUUCAUAAUCGUCUGUUCACAUGAAAUACUCGGGUUUUCAUUGUAAAACUGCUAGUUUGUGGUAAAUUUGUUAGCGUUUCUCUCGGUAGAGACUUAUUUUUGCGAUGGGAAUUCAUGAGGCGGAAUGAAAUACUGGGCGAGUGUAAGUGAUGCAAAUGCAGUUCACUGAUAAGACAAUAAUGAUAUUCGUUCGGGUAUGGCACAGUGGGUGAUUAAAGGAUCUUGACAGGUGAUGUGUGUUAUCACAGCAGGAAUUUGUGGCGUGCAGGUUCAAGGACCCCGGAGACGUGCCCGAUAGUCACUAGGAUCUAGGAUAACAAUCAAAACAAUUUUCAACCAUCCAUCAGCUCACCUACGUCGUCGUCUCUUUUUCCGUC